CACUAGGUGUCUUUAAAUAGGAAGAGCUCACAUGUCUCGUUCCAGGAAAGUCCAGUACUGCUAAGUCAUUUUGGAUUCUUUGAAUUCCAGCCCCUUCCUUUGAAAAAAGGACACAUAAACCUUUCCUAUGUUACUUUUAAGAAGAUGUAAUACUCCAAUUACUCAAGUGGCAGCAUAAAUCUGCUCCUAAAACAAGAUAUUUAUACAACAAUAUAUUUCAAAAUUAUGGGACUGAGUGGAUGGCCCACUAUUUUAGUGGCACGGAAAGUGUUAUGGUUGAGCCUUCUGGCUCCGAUACUAGGAGACGAGGUCGUAAGACUCCUUGAGAGUCAGACUCUUUUGAGGAGCGUGAAAGGAAACGGCUCCGGGACUUAUUUGCAGAACCAACAGACGAAGACUCCUUUGAGGGUUUUACCGAGGGAAUGGAGGAAGAGAUGGUUAGCUCAGAGGAGGAUGACAUGGAAUGGACUCGUGUGAGGGAGGAUUUGGGUGUCACUGGCAAUGAUAGCAUGGGAGGCGACUGGCGGGUUGCAGGAUCGGACCCGUGGACGGGCUGGAGAGAUGGAACGGGAUCCACAGCUGGGGAUGCUGUGGGGUGUAGUCAAAGGUGUUUUAGUUCUGAUGAGGAUGAUGAUGAGGAGGCACCUGGAAUUAGGAUAGCAGCUGACAGCGAUGAGGAGUUAUGAACUGGCAUAAAAUGGGGUCUAGAAUCAAUGGCUAAUUGCGUUGGGCAAGGUAAUCUGGACGAACGCUUGGGCUCUUGUUGGGGAACUUCCUGAAGACGGGUGUGAUUCGUUUGCUGGAUACCUUGGACCUCCGUCGUCUUUUUGACGGACAUUAUUUGCCAACUCUGGAUUGACGCUGGACUGACUGACUGACUACGACUCUGGACUAACCCUUCUGUGGCUAUCGGUGGAACUUGUGGAACCUUAGAUGUCUGCGUUUGGCUUUCGACCUCAGACCGGAUUGGGACCCCGCUGACCGUCAUUACCCUGAUUGAUGUGCCUGUAUCUGGUUUUCGCCUGUUGCACGGAGGAGCAACAGCCCGAGUUACUUCUGUAGCUCUUGAGUAGCAGAGGGGAAUCUGCUGCUGGGUUUAGUGUUCAUUUUGACCUUUUGUUAACCAGUGUUGUUUGUUUAAUUGCCAGGCUGAAGUAAGCACCUUUGAUUUAACCCGGAUUAAACUUCUGUUUAAUCCGGUUUAUUCUUUUGAACUGUUUAGACUCAAACGAAGCUAUUUUUGUUACUUUUUAUACUGAAGACAAGUGUUUGCCUAGUCUUUUGUUUCCUACGGGCAAUUUUUAGUUCUGUAACCUCAAUAAACUGUGUUGUAUUCUAUUUGGAGGCGUUCUGUCUAUGACAGAAACAAUGUGCAAACACAGCAAAAGGAAUGUUGUUCUGGGAGGGGAAAUAUAAAUGUAUUUCUAAUGUUUAUAUUAGCACCAAAGACACCUGACUAGUUUCUUACAGCAUUAUUAUAAUCCUCAUGUAACAACUGGAAAUUUCUUGCUGUUCCAAGGACCAAGCAGAGCAUAGGCCUCAUCUACACUUAUGUUAUAUGUGUUGAUAGGGGUUGUUGUUAUAAUUUUAUGUGACUUAUUUUAUACUUUUGUACCGUUUUUAACUGUUGUAUGUUAUAUGUGCACCCUGGAGUGCCUUGUAAGCUUCCCCGAGUCCCUUCAGGGAGAUGGUGGCGGGAUAUAAAUAAAGAUAAUGGUGAUGGUGAUGAUUAUUAUUACACUGCCCAUUUAAUGCAGUUUUAAACUGAUACUGAAGAAAGUGGUUUUGAUGUUCAUAUGAUUACAUAGGAAAUCAUGGAAACAGAUUACAUAGGAAAUCCUGGAAUCAGUUACAUAAACCAUAUAGCACCGAUACACAUUAGGGCUUUUGUUUUGCGCGUUUUCGGGGAGUUUGUUGUCUGGUUGCUAGUUUUGAACUGUAUCAAAUGGUCAGUGGAGAUGGGGCCAUAGAAUAUUAAGACACACGAAGUGACACUAGCAUGAAAAUUCACCAUAUGUGACCAUUCUAUAUUUCACUCUUUGGUGUUAUGGACAUUCUCCGGAAAGAACACAUUAACAGAAACUGAUAUGCAAUGGGGCUGAGUGGCUGAAGCUGACUUAAAGUGGUACUUGAGUCCUGGGAUAUUAUGGAAUUAUUCUCUCUCGUUCUC